ensembl:lncRNA
UCAGAUCAUUUGAUUCAAGUCUAUGACUCCACAUGCCUGGUUUACAGGCGCUAGCAGACACUUUGAGGCGCAUGUCUGGCUUUCUCCUGCCUCCAUGAGGCCAGCUCUCCGGAUCCCACUGGUUUCUAGGACAGGGUGUCCCCCUCCUCCUCUUCAGUUGGCAGACGCUGCUCUGUUCGUUGUCAUUCUGCAGCACGCUGUAUGUCAACAGUCUGGAUGAAGAUAGAGGGCAGCACACACACAUACACACACCCUUCAUUUAUUUGUGGGUUGCAUUAUUAUUUUUGUAUUAGAGUGCACUCUUUAUCUCCUGAAUGCUGGAUUGUGGGCUUAUCUCAAUGUAACUUAUACAUUCAUAUCCUCUAUGAAGAACAUUUCUCAUCAUAUAGAGAGAAACUAUUGUUGUGUAACUGCUGCAGCUGCCAAAUGGAAAUAAUGAAUACUAAUAAUAUCAGAAUCUGCCCCCAGAUUAAGCUGACUGGGAGAGAGUUGGGAAAUGGGAGAUAUCUAUCACCCCCUAAUUCCGGCCAUUAGCUGCAUUUUAGUAUUUCCGUGCGUAUUCAUUUCCUCGUCAUUAUUUUCAAAAACAUUCAACUCAUUUCCCUCCCACAUUUGACCACAUGGAAUGAACCGGGGGAAGGGGAGAAAGAAUCCGAACUGUUGUUCCUGUGAGUCUGCAGCGAGUCCAUCCUCAGCACACAGAGCCACUGUGGCUGCUUGUUACAAACCAUUAUGCAGACGAGAGCUUUGGAAGCCACUGCUUCAACGGCAAAUUGUUUUACGCAAUUAAUUUGUCCACCAGGCAGCAAGACUCUUUAGAUCCUCUGUGGCAAGUUUAACCAGUUCUAAUGUUCUAAAGAGCUUUUUGUGUUACAGUAGCAUUGCAGUUAUUUUUGUCUGUCUUUCAUCAUCGUCAUUUUAUAUUUGAUGUAUCUUAUUGAAUGAAGUGCAUUUUUAUGUGUUAUGAUCUGCCCUCGUGUCACUGCCAACCUCCAUCAAACUCUCCCUGAAUUGAUUUACAUAAUUGUGUUAUGGUUUGGCUAUUGAGACACUGAAAAAUGUCGUCGUGGUCGCUGAACGAUUGCAUCUGUUUUCUCUUUUUUUGUGUUUUCUCAUUGUUUACUUUCCUUGGUAAGCUCGGGAC